rnacentral:rRNA from 1 species
CCUACGGGAGGCAGCAGUGGGGAAUAUUGGACAAUGGGGGCAACCCUGAUCCAGCCAUGCCGCGUGUGUGAAGAAGGCCCUCGGGUUGUAAAGCACUUUCAGUGAGGAAGAACGCCUGGUGGUUAAUACCCAUCAGGAAAGACAUCACUCACAGAAGAAGCACCGGCUAACUCCGUGCCAGCAGCCGCGGUAAUACGGAGGGUGCGAGCGUUAAUCGGAAUUACUGGGCGUAAAGCGCGCGUAGGUGGCUUGAUAAGCCGGUUGUGAAAGCCCCGGGCUCAACCUGGGAACGGCAUCUGGAACUGUCAAGCUAGAGUGCAGGAGAGGAAGGUAGAAUUCCCGGUGUAGCGGUGAAAUGCGUAGAGAUCGGGAGGAAUACCAGUGGCGAAGGCGGCCUUCUGGACUGACACUGACACUGAGGUGCGAAAGCGUGGGUAGCAAACAGGAUUAGAUACCCCAGUAGUC